rnacentral:rRNA from 1 species
GACGUAGGGCGCGAGCGUUGUCCGGAUUUAUUGGGCGUAAAGAGCUCGUAGGCGGCUCGUUGCGUCGGCUGUGAAAACCCGCAGCUCAACUGUGGGCUUGCAGCUGAUACGGGCGGGCUUGGAUUCGGUAGGGGAGACUGGAAUUCCUGGUGUAGCGGUGAAAUGCGCAGAUAUCAGGAGGAACACCCGUGGCGAAGGCGGUUCUCUGGGACGGUACUGACGCUGAGACGCGAAAGCGUGGGGAGCGAACAGG